CGUGUAGGCGGGUAAAUAAGUCAGAAGUGAAAUCCAAUAGCUCAACUAUUGAACUGCUUUUGAAACUGUAUACCUAGAAUGUGGGAGAGGCAGAUGGAAUUUCUGGUGUAGGGGUAAAAUCCGUAGAGAUCAGAAGGAAUACCGAUUGCGAAGGCGAUCUGCUGGAACAUUAUUGACGCUGAGACGCGAAAGCGUGGGGAGCAAACA
rnacentral:rRNA from 2 species